GGGUUGUGAGGUUAAGCGACUAAGCGUACACGGUGGAUGCCCUGGCAGUCAGAGGCGAUGAAGGACGUGCUAAUCUGCGAUAAGCGUCGGUAAGGUGAUAUGAACCGUUAUAACCGGCGAUUUCCGAAUGGGGAAACCCAGUGUGAUUCGUCACACUAUCAUUAACUGAAUCCAUAGGUUAAUGAGGCGAACCGGGGGAACUGAAACAUCUAAGUACCCCGAGGAAAAGAAAUCAACCGAGAUUCCCCCAGUAGCGGCGAGCGAACGGGGAGCAGCCCAGAGCCUGAAUCAGUGUGUGUGUUAGUGGAAGCGUCUGGAAAGGCGCGCGAUACAGGGUGACAGCCCCGUACACAAAAAUGCACAUGCUGUGAGCUCGAUGAGUAGGGCGGGACACGUGGUAUCCUGUCUGAAUAUGGGGGGACCAUCCUCCAAGGCUAAAUACUCCUGACUGACCGAUAGUGAACCAGUACCGUGAGGGAAAGGCGAAAAGAACCCCGGCGAGGGGAGUGAAAAAGAACCUGAAACCGUGUACGUACAAGCAGUGGGAGCACAGAGCAAUCUGUGUGACUGCGUACCUUUUGUAUAAUGGGUCAGCGACUUAUAUUCUGUAGCAAGGUUAACCGAAUAGGGGAGCCGAAGGGAAACCGAGUCUUAACUGGGCGUUAAGUUGCAGGGUAUAGACCCGAAACCCGGUGAUCUAGCCAUGGGCAGGUUGAAGGUUGGGUAACACUAACUGGAGGACCGAACCGACUAAUGUUGAAAAAUUAGCGGAUGACUUGUGGCUGGGGGUGAAAGGCCAAUCAAACCGGGAGAUAGCUGGUUCUCCCCGAAAGCUAUUUAGGUAGCGCCUCGUGAAUUCAUCUCCGGGGGUAGAGCACUGUUUCGGCAAGGGGGUCAUCCCGACUUACCAACCCGAUGCAAACUGCGAAUACCGGAGAAUGUUAUCACGGGAGACACACGGCGGGUGCUAACGUCCGUCGUGAAGAGGGAAACAACCCAGACCGCCAGCUAAGGUCCCAAAGUCAUGGUUAAGUGGGAAACGAUGUGGGAAGGCCCAGACAGCCAGGAUGUUGGCUUAGAAGCAGCCAUCAUUUAAAGAAAGCGUAAUAGCUCACUGGUCGAGUCGGCCUGCGCGGAAGAUGUAACGGGGCUAAACCAUGCACCGAAGCUGCGGCAGCGACGCUUAUGCGUUGUUGGGUAGGGGAGCGUUCUGUAAGCCUGCGAAGGUGUGCUGUGAGGCAUGCUGGAGGUAUCAGAAGUGCGAAUGCUGACAUAAGUAACGAUAAAGCGGGUGAAAAGCCCGCUCGCCGGAAGACCAAGGGUUCCUGUCCAACGUUAAUCGGGGCAGGGUGAGUCGACCCCUAAGGCGAGGCCGAAAGGCGUAGUCGAUGGGAAACAGGUUAAUAUUCCUGUACUUGGUGUUACUGCGAAGGGGGGACGGAGAAGGCUAUGUUGGCCGGGCGACGGUUGUCCCGGUUUAAGCGUGUAGGCUGGUUUUCCAGGCAAAUCCGGAAAAUCAAGGCUGAGGCGUGAUGACGAGGCACUACGGUGCUGAAGCAACAAAUGCCCUGCUUCCAGGAAAAGCCUCUAAGCAUCAGGUAACAUCAAAUCGUACCCCAAACCGACACAGGUGGUCAGGUAGAGAAUACCAAGGCGCUUGAGAGAACUCGGGUGAAGGAACUAGGCAAAAUGGUGCCGUAACUUCGGGAGAAGGCACGCUGAUAUGUAGGUGAAGUCCCUCGCGGAUGGAGCUGAAAUCAGUCGAAGAUACCAGCUGGCUGCAACUGUUUAUUAAAAACACAGCACUGUGCAAACACGAAAGUGGACGUAUACGGUGUGACGCCUGCCCGGUGCCGGAAGGUUAAUUGAUGGGGUUAGCGCAAGCGAAGCUCUUGAUCGAAGCCCCGGUAAACGGCGGCCGUAACUAUAACGGUCCUAAGGUAGCGAAAUUCCUUGUCGGGUAAGUUCCGACCUGCACGAAUGGCGUAAUGAUGGCCAGGCUGUCUCCACCCGAGACUCAGUGAAAUUGAACUCGCUGUGAAGAUGCAGUGUACCCGCGGCAAGACGGAAAGACCCCGUGAACCUUUACUAUAGCUUGACACUGAACAUUGAGCCUUGAUGUGUAGGAUAGGUGGGAGGCUUUGAAGUGUGGACGCCAGUCUGCAUGGAGCCGACCUUGAAAUACCACCCUUUAAUGUUUGAUGUUCUAACGUUGACCCGUAAUCCGGGUUGCGGACAGUGUCUGGUGGGUAGUUUGACUGGGGCGGUCUCCUCCUAAAGAGUAACGGAGGAGCACGAAGGUUGGCUAAUCCUGGUCGGACAUCAGGAGGUUAGUGCAAUGGCAUAAGCCAGCUUGACUGCGAGCGUGACGGCGCGAGCAGGUGCGAAAGCAGGUCAUAGUGAUCCGGUGGUUCUGAAUGGAAGGGCCAUCGCUCAACGGAUAAAAGGUACUCCGGGGAUAACAGGCUGAUACCGCCCAAGAGUUCAUAUCGACGGCGGUGUUUGGCACCUCGAUGUCGGCUCAUCACAUCCUGGGGCUGAAGUAGGUCCCAAGGGUAUGGCUGUUCGCCAUUUAAAGUGGUACGCGAGCUGGGUUUAGAACGUCGUGAGACAGUUCGGUCCCUAUCUGCCGUGGGCGCUGGAGAACUGAGGGGGGCUGCUCCUAGUACGAGAGGACCGGAGUGGACGCAUCACUGGUGUUCGGGUUGUCAUGCCAAUGGCACUGCCCGGUAGCUAAAUGCGGAAGAGAUAAGUGCUGAAAGCAUCUAAGCACGAAACUUGCCCCGAGAUGAGUUCUCCCUGACCCUUUAAGGGUCCUGAAGGAACGUUGAAGACGACGACGUUGAUAGGCCGGGUGUGUAAGCGCAGCGAUGCGUUGAGCUAACCGGUACUAAUGAACCGUGAGGCUUAACCUUACAACGCCGAAGGUGUUU
rnacentral:rRNA from 1 species